rnacentral:rRNA from 1 species
CCUGAGAAACCCGAAAGAUCGAAUGGGGAGAUUCAUCGUCAGCGAUCCUGGUUCUUGUGCGGUUCGGGAUGUCGGGGACCCCGGUCCCGCGGCACUCGUCCGCAUGUUUUUUUGCCAGGUGUCGUCGGCGUGCACUUCUCCCCUAGUAGGACGUCGCGACCCGCUGGGUGUCGGUCUACGGCCCGGCGUAGUUGUCUGUUUCGUCGCUUUACCGCGCACGUGAACAGCCCCCGAGUGCCCGACCCGACUGCCCGGCGGUAUUCGCACGGUAUCAGGCCGCAAAAUUGUCAUGCGUUCAGUCACGCGCCACAAGCGAGUGUCAGAUUUCACCCGGAUCGUCGGUCCCGUGCCGUCACCGGGUCUGACCAGCUGUUUGUUGGCGAUAGUCUGCGACAGGCCAUUUAAUGAUACCGGUCGGCGACGCUAUUGCUUUGGGUACUUUCAGGA